CCCUUAGAUGUUCUGGGCUGCACGCGCGCUACACUGAUGCACUCAACGAGUUUACGACCUUGCCCGAUAGGGUUGGGUAAUCUUUUUAAAAUGCAUCGUGAUGGGGAUAGAUUAUUGCAAUUAUUAAUCUUCAACGAGGAAUUCCUAGUAAGCGCGAGUCAUCAGCUCGUGCUGAUUACGUCCCUGCCCUUUGUACACACCGCCCGUCGCUCCUACCGAUUGGGUGUGCUGGUGAAAUGUUCGGAUCGGCCGUUUGUCGCGGUUUCCGCGUCAUGUGGCUGAGAAGUUCAUUAAACCCUCCCACCUAGAGGAAGGAGAAGUCGUAACA
rnacentral:rRNA from 1 species